rnacentral:rRNA from 1 species
AUUCUAUCGGUAUGGGAUGGGGUCGCGUCCUAUCAGGUAGUCGGCGGGGUAACGGCCCACCGAGCCUACGACGGGUAGCCGGCCUGAGAGGGCGACCGGCCACAUUGGGACUGAGAUACGGCCCAGACUCCUACGGGAGGCAGCAGUGGGGAAUAUUGCACAAUGGGCGCAAGCCUGAUGCAGCGACGCCGCGUGCGGGAUGACGGCCUUCGGGUUGUAAACCGCUUUUGAUCGGGAGCAAGCCUUCGGGUGAGUGUACCUUUCGAAUAAGCACCGGCUAACUACGUGCCAGCAGCCGCGGUAAUACGUAGGGUGCAAGCGUUAUCCGGAAUUAUUGGGCGUAAAGGGCUCGUAGGCGGUUCGUCGCGUCCGGUGUGAAAGUCCAUCGCUUAACGGUGGAUCUGCGCCGGGUACGGGCGGGCUGGAGUGCGGUAGGGGAGACUGGAAUUCCCG